UCAUAGGCUUUUCCAAAAGCCCCAAAUAUUUUCUAUAAAUAUUCCU
rfam:Fukomys damarensis contig97590, whole genome shotgun sequence.